rnacentral:rRNA from 1 species
CCUACGGGUGGCUGCAGUGGGGAAUAUUGGACAAUGGGCGAAAGCCUUAUCCAGCCAUGCCGCGUGUGUGAAGAAGGCCUUCGGGUUGUAAAGCACUUUCAGUGGGGAAGAAAGCCUUGGGGCUAAUACCCUCGAGGAAGGACAUCACCCACAGAAGAAGCACCGGCUAACUCCGUGCCAGCAGCCGCGGUAAUACGGAGGGUGCGAGCGUUAAUCGGAAUUACUGGGCGUAAAGCGCGCGUAGGCGGUCUGAUAAGCCGGUUGUGAAAGCCCCGGGCUCAACCUGGGAACGGCAUCCGGAACUGUCAGGCUAGAGUGCAGGAGAGGAAGGUAGAAUUCCCGGUGUAGCGGUGAAAUGCGUAGAGAUCGGGAGGAAUACCAGUGGCGAAGGCGGCCUUCUGGACUGACACUGACGCUGAGGUGCGAAAGCGUGGGUAGCAAACAGGAUUAGAUACCCUAGUAGUC